UACGGAGGAUCCAAGCGUUAUCCGGAUUUAUUGGGUUUAAAGGGUGCGUAGGCGGAAUAGUAAGUCAGUGGUGAAAUCCUGCAGCUUAACUGUAGAAUUGCCAUUGAUACUGCUAAUCUUGAGUAUAUUUGAAGUGGGCGGAAUGUGUCAUGUAGCGGUGAAAUGCUUAGAUAUGACACAGAACACCAAUUGCGAAGGCAGCUCACUAAACUAUAACUGACGCUGAGGCACGAAAGCGUGGGGAUCAAACAGGAUUAGAUACCCUGGUAGU
rnacentral:rRNA from 1 species